AAAUUUACGAGUAAUAAAGGUAUAUCAGUCACGUUAAACCUAUUUUAAAUAUAUUUAAUAUUUAAAAAUAAGAUAUUAUCCCUCAAGCACAAACAUUUUAGGGCUUUUUUUGUCCUUUUUGCAUUGCUGCCCCCACAACUGCACCAUCUCCAUCUUGCCGGCGCCUCUUUAUUCGUCGUGGCUGUGCGAGCGGUUCUCUGCUCUGGCUUAUUUUUCUGGCGCCGUCGAACUCCUUCGGUGCUUGAACUUCCUCCUUCGCCGUAACGAGUGUUUUUUUUUCUCUCUAGCCGAUAUUUCUCUGUCAAUGGACUCUUCUUCCAUCGACAGUUGCCUUUCCGUGAAGUGGUGCUCUCCGGCGCUCUCUCUCACUACCGACCGUUGUGUUGGUGCUCGUGCUCAUCCUCUGCUUCUUCUUACAUCAAUUCGGGGAGCUGAUUCAGUUCCCGAUCCAUGACGCCGAAUCGUUCCCAGUGACCGCUCUAUUGCUCUUCACUUCAACUUCUCCCUACCCAGGAUGGCGAAGAAACGGAGAGUUCUAGAGAUUCUAUGGAAACUUUUCUGUGAAAAAGCUCGAACUCUUGCCGACACAAUCAUGUCUAUGGUUCAAAAUCAAGCGGUGAGGGGGAAAAUGCGUUUUUUCUCAUUAAACGUGGCGAUUCUUCCAAUUACCCAAGUCCUCCAUCAUUGUCUCGUUGUUGUCAACGAGGAAGCACCCCAUUUCUCCCAUUUCUCUGCGAACGUCUACUGGUCCCAACACUGAGAAUAUGCAGAGCCGGCUUGCAGGAGAAUCUGAACUCUGCAGACUGGAAAAAAAAAAAACCAUAACUAAAUGUGUGAAGUCUGAUAGCUUGUGGGACGAUUGCUCUUCCUACAUGUGCCAACAAAAAUGUUCAACAGUUUUAAAGAAAGACAGCAUCAAAGCAGUCAGUUCACAAGCAAUAAUCUGCAGCAGUAAAAAUAAAACAAAAGUGCAGAGUUCAGCAGGCAGUUUUCCUGGAGAGUGAAGGAGAUGAUGCCAGGAUGGAAUUUUAGGCAAAGGGAAGAAACCUGGAUCAUGCAGGUGAAGCCAAAAGUGCAGCAGCAAGCAGACACAAUGAGCUGCUCCAUUGAGUUGCCUACUAACCAGCAGCCUAAAGCAGAAUCUGAAGACUACUUCAAAGGCGAUACUGCAGAGAAAUAUACUUGUUGUGGAUAUUAAACUAACUUUAGAAGUUGGGAAAAUCCCUUUGCAGAGUAAGGUCCAUCUGAUUGUGAAACUGGGGAAGCCUCUCAGUUAGACAUAGAGAAUACUAAUUUUACAGUAUUAAAAAACUAAAAUGAAAUGCUAUUUUACUGA